rnacentral:rRNA from 1 species
UCAGGACGAACGCUGGCGGCGUGCCUAAUACAUGCAAGUCGAACGGUCUUUCUAUGGAAGCUUGCUUCCACUGAGAAGAUAGUGGCGAACGGGUGAGUAACACGUGGGUAACCUGCCCAUAAGAGGGGGAUAACAUCCGGAAACGGGUGCUAAUACCGCAUAGUUUUCUUGAUUGCAUGAUUGAGAAAGGAAAGACGGCCUUUGUGCUGUCGCUUAUGGAUGGACCCGCGGCGUAUUAGUUAGUUGGUGAGGUAACGGCUCACCAAGACGAUGAUACGUAGCCGACCUGAGAGGGUGAUCGGCCACAUUGGGACUGAGACACGGCCCAAACUCCUACGGGAGGCAGCAGUAGGGAAUCUUCCGCAAUGGACGAAAGUCUGACGGAGCAACGCCGCGUGAGUGAAAGAAGGUUUUCGGAUCGUAAAACUCUGUUGUCAGAGAAGAACAAGUUGGAGAGUAACUGCUCCAGCCUUGACGGUAUCUGACCAGAAAGCCACGGCUAACUACGUGCCAGCCGCCGC